rnacentral:lncRNA from 1 species
UGUCGAUUCCGUGUAUUUAAAGGGAGACUUUACGCUGGAAGCAGAAAGCCAGCCCCACUCGCCGUGUCCGUCUCCCAGGGCUGCCGUAACAAAUCCCCACGCACUGGGCGGCUUGAAACAACAGAAAUCCUUUCCCACCGUUCUGGAGACCAGAGGUCUGAAAUCGAGGGGAUGGGCGGUGGGCUCCCUCCACGGCUCUGAGGGGGCAUCCGUUCCCCACCUCUCUCCUGGCUUCCGAUGCUGCGGGCCAUGCUUGGCUGUCCUCGGCUUGUGGCUGUAUCACUCCCCUCUCUGCCUGUCUGCACACGGCUUUCCUCCCCGUACCUCUGCGUCAGCUCCCCUUUCUCUGAUGCAAGCACCAGUCACUGGAUUUAGGAUCCCCCGUAAUCCAGGAUGGUCUCACCUCGAGGUCCUUAACUUCAUUGCAUCUGCAAAGACCCUCUUUACAAAUAAGGUCCCGUCCUCAGGUACCGGGGGCUGGGACGUGGACAUAUCGUUUUAGGAGGGUGACACCACUUGACCCACUAUACUUGCCAGAAACUAAAGAUGCUAUACAGGGCUCUGAGCUGAGACAGCUGUGCUGGCGUCUCCACGUCCACGGAAACCUCAGGCAGCCCCAAGCGGGCUUCGGAGCGCAGACCCCGUUCAAGUCCCUGGGCUGUUCCUCCCCAGCCACGCACGUGGUUAAACCCCGGAUGCUCCUGGCAGGGCCUUGGUUGUGUAGACGGAGCGGGGACAGGCCUCCAGGUGAUUCUGAAGGGUGGCCAAGGUGAGAACCAGUCCCGGCCACUCCCAUCCUGGGAAAGAACAGGCCCCCCCACGCCCACCCCCCACACCUGUGGCCUCUUCUCAUCCUUCUGGCUGCUGCUAACUUGUCACCCUCCAGAGACUGCUUCAAAGUCAGUCCCCUGCUUUCUUCUAUCAGCGUCCACUUAUUUCCUUCCUGGCACUUGUCACGCAUCGAAUUAUUUCUGUUUGUUUGUUUGAUGCAUCCAAAAUCCCAUUGUUUUAGUUGAGGGAACCCCUGAGAGC